rnacentral:rRNA from 1 species
GUCCACGCAGUAAACGAUGGACACUAGCUGUCCGGGGGGAAUGACCCCUGGGCGGCACAGCGAAAGCGUUAAGUGUCCCACCUGGGGAGUACGCCGGCAACGGUGAAACUCAAAAGGAAUUGACGGGGGCCCGCACAAGCGGAGGAACAUGUGGUUUAAUUCGAUGAUACGCGAGGAACCUUACCCGGGCUCAAACGCAGCAGGAAUACUUUUGAAAGGAGGUAGCCAGCAAUGGCCUGCUGCGAGGUGCUGCAUGGUUGUCGU